rnacentral:lncRNA from 1 species
AUACAUUGAUAAUACACUGCACAGAUUAAUGUACCAUAAUGACAGAUAUAUGGGUGCACGCCUGUUGCGUAGCAAAUGAUAUGGAUUGAAGUCCCGAAAGGACAAUCCUUUGAUAUGUCAAUAUUGAUAUUAUGCACGCCUAAUGCGUAGCAAAUUAUAUGGGUUAAAGUCCCAUAAUAUGGGUUAAAGUCCCAGAAAUUAAUUGACAUGUAUAUUUUAAUCUGUGGCAUGCCUGCAGCAUGACAGAUAUAUGG